GGUUAAGCGACUAAGCGUACACGGUGGAUGCCCUGGCAGUCAGAGGCGAUGAAGGACGUGCUAAUCUGCGAAAAGCGCCGGCGAGGUGAUAUGAACCCUUGACCCGGCGAUGUCCGAAUGGGGAAACCCAGUGCAAUCCGUUGCACUAUCGUUAACUGAAUACAUAGGUUAACGAGGCGAACCGGGGGAACUGAAACAUCUAAGUACCCCGAGGAAAAGAAAUCAACCGAGAUUCCCCCAGUAGCGGCGAGCGAACGGGGAGCAGCCCGGAGUCUGAAUCAGCUUGUGUGUUAGUGGAACGGUCUGGAAAGUCCGACGGUACAGGGUGAUAGUCCCGUACACGAAAGCACACUUGCUGUGAACUCGAAGAGUAGGGCGGGACACGUGGUAUCCUGUCUGAAUAUGGGGGGACCAUCCUCCAAGGCUAAAUACUCCUGACUGACCGAUAGUGAACCAGUACCGUGAGGGAAAGGCGAAAAGAACCCCGGCGAGGGGAGUGAAAAAGAACCUGAAACCGUGUACGUACAAGCAGUGGGAGCCUCUUUAUGGGGUGACUGCGUACCUUUUGUAUAAUGGGUCAGCGACUUAUAUUCUGUAGCAAGGUUAACCGUAUAGGGGAGCCGAAGGGAAACCGAGUCUUAACUGGGCGUUAAGUUGCAGGGUAUAGACCCGAAACCCGGUGAUCUAGCCAUGGGCAGGUUGAAGGUUGGGUAACACUAACUGGAGGACCGAACCGACUAAUGUUGAAAAAUUAGCGGAUGACCUGUGGCUGGGGGUGAAAGGCCAAUCAAACCGGGAGAUAGCUGGUUCUCCCCGAAAGCUAUUUAGGUAGCGCCUCGUGAACUCAUCUUCGGGGGUAGAGCACUGUUUCGGCUAGGGGGCCAUCCCGGCUUACCAACCCGAUGCAAACUACGAAUACCGAAGAAUGUUAUCACGGGAGACACACGGCGGGUGCUAACGUCCGUCGUGAAGAGGGAAACAACCCAGACCGCCAGCUAAGGUCCCAAAGUCAUGGUUAAGUGGGAAACGAUGUGGGAAGGCACAGACAGCCAGGAUGUUGGCUUAGAAGCAGCCAUCAUUUAAAGAAAGCGUAAUAGCUCACUGGUCGAGUCGGCCUGCGCGGAAGAUGUAACGGGGCUAAACCAUGCACCGAAUGCUGGAGGUAUCAGAAGUGCGAAUGCUGACAUAAGUAACGAUAAAGCGGGUGAAAAGCCCGCUCGCCGGAAGACCAAGGGUUCCUGUCCAACGUUAAUCGGGGCAGGGUGAGUCGACCCCUAAGGCGAGGCCGAAAGGCGUAGUCGAUGGGAAACAGGUUAAUAUUCCUGUACUUGGUGUUACUGCGAAGGGGGGACGGAGAAGGCUAUGUCAGCCGGGCGACGGUUGUCCCGGUUUAAGCAUGUAGGCGGAGGUUCCAGGUAAAUCCGGUACCUUAUUAACGCUGAGGUGUGAUGACGAGGCACUACGGUGCUGAAGUGAUAAAUGCCCUGCUUCCAGGAAAAGCCUCUAAGCAUCAGGUAACACGAAAUCGUACCCCAAACCGACACAGGUGGUCAGGUAGAGAAUACCAAGGCGCUUGAGAGAACUCGGGUGAAGGAACUAGGCAAAAUGGUGCCGUAACUUCGGGAGAAGGCACGCUGAU
rnacentral:rRNA from 1 species